GUUCUAAGUAUUCUAGUGUGAAAGAGAAUGAGCCGAACAAUUAAAGUAGAGUGAGAUUUAUGGCACAGUCGAGGGAAGCAUUAUGUCCUCUUAAGAUCGAGGGUGACACUGAACAGGUCAAGAAGUGAUGCCUGAGUUGAGUCUCAAAACAUAACCAAAGGAGCAUGACUUCGGCAACUUCACCUAUCAUUCUGAAAUGGGACCCCAAAAGUUUGGAAAUCCGGACGCUAACAGUGGAAAGGCUGUUGGAGCCACUUGUUACACAGUGCAUUUUUUUUUCCACCGGAUAUUUCAAAUGAAAAUCACAUAAAUCUGUAUUGCUGACUGUCAUCUUGAAAAAGGAUACCUGUUGAAUUGGGUAACUCUUUUCAUGAAAAUAACUUAAAAAACUGGAUGAAAUAUAAAAGCAUCUUUUGAAUGUAUUGUGACUUU
rnacentral:lncRNA from 1 species